GACGUCGAUAUUCGACGUCAUAAACACGGUCAACUUUGGUGUUUAUGGCGUCGAUAUUCGACGUCAUAAACACGAUCAACUUUGGUGUUUAUGACGUCGAUAUUCGACGUCAUAAACACGAUCAACUUUGGUGUUUAUGACGUCGAUAUUCGACGUCAUAAACACGAUCAACUUUGGUGUUUAUGACGUCGAUAUUCGACGUCAUAAACACGACCAACUUUGGUGUUUAUGACGUCGAUAUUCGACGUC